rnacentral:rRNA from 1 species
UACGUAGGGGGCAAGCGUUGUCCGGAAUCAUUGGGCGUAAAGAGCGUGUAGGCGGCCCGGUAAGUCCGCUGUGAAAGUCCAGGGCUCAACCCUGGGAUGCCGGUGGAUACUGUCGGGCUCGAGUCCGGAAGAGGAGUGUGGAAUUCCUGGUGUAGCGGUGAAAUGCGCAGAUAUCAGGAGGAACACCAAUGGCGAAGGCAGCACUCUGGGACGUGACUGACGCUGAGACGCGAAAGCGUGGGGAGCAAAC